CUGUUACUGCUCCCACUGGAAGGCUAUUCCAGGUAUCUACUACCCUUUCUAUAUCACUGUUACCGCUCCCACUGGAAGGCUAUUCCAGGUAUCUACUACCCUUUCUAUAUCACUGUUACCGCUCCCACUGGAAGGCUAUUCCAGGUGUCUACUACCCUUUCUAUAUCACUGUUACUGCUCCCACUGGAAGGCUAUUCCAGGUAUCUACUACCCUUUCUAUAUCACUGUUACUGCUCCCACUGGAAGGCUAUUCCAGGUAUCUACUACCCUUUCUAUAUCACUGUUACCGCUCCCACUGGGAGGCUAUUCCAGGUAUCUACUACCCUUUCUAUAUCUGUUACUGCU